UACAGAGGUCUCAAGCGUUGUUCGGAUUCAUUGGGCGUAAAGGGUGCGUAGGCGGCGCGGUAAGUCGGGUGUGAAAUCUCGGAGCUUAACUCCGAAACUGCAUUCGAUACUGCCGUGCUUGAGGACUGGAGAGGAGACUGGAAUUUACGGUGUAGCGGUGAACUGCGUAGAUAUCGUAAGGAAGACCAGUGGCGAAGGCGGGUCUCUGGACAGUUCCUGACGCUGAGGCACGAAGGUCAGGGGAGCAAACGGG
rnacentral:rRNA from 1 species